GACGGACCGUCCAAACGUUAUUCGGAAUCACUGGGCUUAAAGGGUGCGUAGGCCGUUCGAAAAGUUGGGUGUGAAAUACCUCGGCUCAACCGAGGAACUGCGCCCAAAACUGUCGGACUCGAGGGAGACAUAGGUGUGCGGAACUUAGGGUGGAGCGGUGAAAUGCGUUGAGAUCCUAGGGAACACCAGUAGCGAAAGCGGCACACUGGGUCUUUUCUGACGCUGAUGCACGAAAGCUAGGGGAG
rnacentral:rRNA from 1 species